rnacentral:lncRNA from 1 species
CGGAAUUUGUGAGGAGUGAGGAAUUGAAUCAAGCUGGAAAUCACCGCCUAUAACCCUAAAUUAGUUUGAUGCAGAAAAUCAGAAAUUAAAAAAAUUAUGCGUCUGAACUCUGAACUCAAAAAGUUCAAAACUUAAAAAUAUAAAAACUCGGAAGAAACCUCAGAGAGUACUGAGAUGAGAUGAGACUUACAAAACUUACAAAAGUAGUGAAGUUAACCGGUGAAGAUGAGAUGAGACUCGAGCUCGACUGUCGACUGGUCGUAACUCGUAGAGACGUAGACUCGCAGACGCAGACUCGCAGUAGAUUCUCGAUUCAGAUGAUAUCCUAAGCCCUAAAUCCUAAUGCCCUAAUUUGAUUCAGAUGGUCUAAG